rnacentral:lncRNA from 1 species
UGCCUCCUAACCCUAGAGAAGAAAAGAGAGAUCUCAUGGAAGAGCAAAGGGAGAAGAAGACACCAAUGAAAUCAAGGAAAUAUCUUAGGAAAUGGUAUAAACAUGAAGAAGCAACCAGACACCAUUGUGGAGGAAACUUGGUGGGUAUGUUUCCAACUCAUUAAUUUAGUUUCAUAUAAAAGGGUUUUGUAAUGCUUUCAGCAUUUUAAAGUGUUAUUCCUGUUUUCUUAAACCUUUUCUAGGGAGUGUGCAAGUCUGAAUCUAGCAUGACUAGUUGUAUUGCUUGAUUCCCAAAAAAAGUUCUGUUUGGAGAAAGAGGAAUUCAUUCAAAAUUGGGAAUAUUUCUCAUGUAGAUGCAGAGGAGAGAAGCUCAUGUAGAGGCAGAGGAGAGAAGCGCAAGAAAAUCUGCAACAACAGAGGUUUCAGGUAAAGAAACUGAAACAACACAUAAUUAUAUUUCUUUGGAGAUAAUGAUUCAAAGAAUAGAACAAACAAAAAAAGAAGAGAGUACACUAUUUUAGUUUCAGUUGUGACUUCUCAUUUGAUUUUAUGGUUUCAAUCUAAUUAUUCCCAAGCUAUGUCAGAGAAUCACAACAAAUAUGCUUAAUAGGAUGUAUAGGAACAAAGAAACAAAAACAUUGAGAGGGAAAGAAGAGAUGCUCGCUUAAGACUCGAAAUGGUUUUGUUUAGUAGAAUUAUCAAUAGUUUCUUAAUAUUUCUUUCUUUCAUAGAUCAAUCUUUUGUCAUAUAAUUGAUCUGUUAAAGAAAGUAAAAAUAAGAAAAUAUUAAUAACUCAUCUAAACAACAUGUUAUCAAAUGUCAAUAGAGCAUUUCUCUCCUUCUCAAUGUUUCUUUUCCUCUGUUCUUGCAUAUCCUGAUGAGCAUAUACGUUGUGAUCUUUGACAAAUCAUGAGAAUAAAUAGACUAGAACGGAAAUCAAAUGAGAAAUCGUAGUUAAAACUAACAUAAUUUAUUAUGUUCUCCUUUUUUCUUUACUAUGUUUCAUCAUCUGUAGAAAAAUAUCAUUAGGUAUUAUUUCAGUUUCUUUACUAAACCUCUAUUGUUGCUAAUUGUCUAGUUCUUCGCUUCUUAGUCUCUUGGUGUUCUCUACUAUCAGUUUCUGAACAUUCUCUCUAGUGUUGAUGUAGUUCAUUCAACAAUCUUACCAUAUAUGUUUUACAGAAAAAGCAACGAGCUAAGUCAAAGGAGACAUGAUGAUAAGUAAAUAAUACAAUUAAAUUAAAUUAUGAACAUCAAAGUUAAGUCUUAGUAAUCUUCUAUGCAUUUGCAUGCUUGUAUAAUGUCAACUCUUUCGCAAUGUCUCUUUGAUAUCUUUCUCCAAAUCUCUUUCUUUAUUCUCUCAAUCUCACGUUUAGGGGGUCCUAUUGAACUGUGUACUUUAAAAAAGUUGGAAGGAUUUUGGAAUCGAUUGUUAUUCAGUUAGGUUUUUUAUAAAGUGCAUUAAAAUCACUUGUUAUUAAAUUAUGCAUUUGUUUGAUGUAUUAUAAAUUACCUUAAAAACAUUGUUAUUCAAUGUCCAAGUGAUUUGGUGUCAUUUUAGAUUUCAUUUUAUUUCACUCUAAAAAUAUGAACAUGCAAAAUUCAACAUAUUUUCUCAUCUAUUUCAAUCUCUUUAAUCCUCCUUCUCUCUCUCUCUCUCUCUCUCUCUCUCUCUCUCAUAUGUUGUUUCAUCUAUUUCAAAUUUUGGUUUAGACGGUUUAUUUUAAUUUUUGGUUUUGGGGAAAACCUAGGUCGACUUAAAAAGUGAGAGAAAAGGCAGAGAGGGAUGGUUGUUCCCUGAGGUGUUUUCUAGAGGUUUAUGGGGUUUCUAUGGGUUGUUAUUGAGGGAUGAAUCUAGCAAAGAGAAGGGGGGUUUUGUGGUUGUGGGUGUUAGGAGAGUCUUUUCCUUCCUCUAUUUUCCUUGUUUUCAUGCCUGUUUAUUCCAAUCAAAAGGUGAGUGUGUCAUGGUUGAUCGGGGCAUGUUAAACCCUUUUGAUGUGUUAUUGAUUAAUUUGGGUGGUUAGAAAUGGUUGUGUGUGGCUUUUUUGUUGUUUAUUUGUUUGCAUAAUUGAGUGUUAGGGUUCUUGGCUGGACCUUUGGAGGUGGUGAAUUAUAUUCGCUCUUUGGAAAGUUGAGAGGCGAUGUCAGGGCUUCUAGGGAGGCGGUUUCAGUCGAGACCAAUUUCUGGUGUCUAUCAACACCAAUUUCUGGACAAUUUUUCUAGACGGCAAUAUUUGGACAGCGAGUAGUUCAUGUCUUUUUAUGGCUAGUUUGUUUGAUUUGGAUAAUCUGAUGCAUGUUGAUUUGGUUUAAUAUGUUUGUGUGUAUAGCCUAGGAGGAUCACUUCGCUGAAUAUUUACAUGUUUCUGAUGCAGGUAAAGUGUGACAUGGAAUCAUGGCAAUGAGGAGGAGGAUAAUAUUUUUUUAUUUAUUUUUGAAAUAUGGAGGAGGAUGAUCUAGGGUCUCGAUUGUUAUAUUUAUGAUUAUGUUUAAUUGUUGGUUGAACCUGACUUAGAGGCAUGCUAGGUUGCUGGUGUAAAUUGUUGUAUGUAAUGAUUGGUUAAUUAAUAUUAUGAUUAAUUGGAGUUGGUUUAAUAUGUUUCCGCUGUACAUGAUGGUUUAUUGUUGGGUUAAUUUAGUUAGGUUUAUUAGUAAGUAUGAGACUAUUAAUGAAUGAAAUAAAAAACCGGGUCGGUCUUUUCUAUUUGGUAUCAGAGCCCUUACGAUUCUAAGGCUAGGUUAAAUGGAUGGUUUGUGAAAUUCAUGGUUUGAAGAUUGAUGUUUAGAAUGGUUUAGGUAUUUAAUUGGUGAAUUGUUUUCCUGUUGUGUGGUCCAUGUUGUGAACCGUUGUGUGAUGCUUGGUGGUAGCAUGCUAGAAUUGAUUAUGAUUAGUUAGUCAAUUGAUUGAACAUGUAGACCUAGUAUCAUCCUCUUCGAGCUUUUAAUGAGAUUCCACGGUAAGUUUUUAUGUGUUGUGUUUUCUCUAGUCGUUUGUGUUCCUAGAUUCUUCAUGUAGUAGUGUAUGAGGCUAGAGGUUGCUAUCGUGGUGGUCGUGGUCCAAAGCUUCGGUGGUGUUUUUUUUUUGGAAAUGGAUUUUCGAGAAGUUAAGUUGGAGACUAUGGUGUAAACACCCUGAGUGGCGAGGUUGUUUGAGAAUCGACCUGAAAAACGGUCAUGGUGGAGGUGAUAAUCCGAUGGGAAUAUGGAUGGGUAGGUAUGACAUUGCAAGAUAGUGCUUGGACUAUGUGAGGUAUUUCUGUUCGGGAGAUUCUUAGAGACGUUAUAGCUUCUUUGCUCUUAGGAUGAUGGGUCUUAAGAAACUCAUGAGGAUAUAUGGUGGUUGUAACGCCUCGGCCGCUAUACUCCUAUGGGCCUCAACCACCAGCCCAUGGGCCCACCUCUCUUAAUGGGCCUCACGUCCUCUCACUAGGCCCAUGAUCCCAUCAAUAUCCGACGGCCAGUUUGCUACAUCUGCGAAGCUUAAAGUCUUGUUUCCCGACAGUACAAAUCACCACAUGAUAUUUCCCUAUGUAUUAACCUCACUCAGACAGUUCCAACAACCACUUCCCAGAACGUCACAUAUCCUUUGAUUACUCCAGCAUAAGCACGCUUAACUGUGGCGUUCUCUUAGGACCUUGGAUCGAAAAGAUAAUUGCACUUUGGUGAUAUAGGUGACCAAAUCAAUUUAUUUAAACAUCUUCGCAACAUAUCGUCUCAUAGUGGUUCUCCUAGAUAUCGAUGGCUUGAAGGGUUGUGGUCCUGAGAGUGGAAAAUGAGAUGGUGGUUUUCCUGGAGGGGAUGGUGAUUCUCCUGAUAGGAUGGUGAUUUCCCUGGUAUCGGGAUGACUCGAUGGUUGUGACAUGAGAGUGGAUGAGUUAAGAGCAAAUAAUGUCUAGAGCGUUGGUAUAAGCAUAAAGACUAAAUGAAGACCUCAGAGGUUGAUGGUGGUUUCAUCUUGGAUUCGGGUUGUGCUGACCGGUGGGGUUAGGGUUGUUUCGAUCGGUGGGCCAGAGUUGUGUUGGCUAGUGGGCCAAGAUUGUACUAGCUAGUGGGGUCAAGAUUGUGUUGGCCGGUGGGCCAGUUGGCAGGUGGGCCAGGGUUGUGUUGCCUGGUGGGCCAUGGUUGUGUUGGCCGGAGGAUUAUAAAUAGUGCAUACCAUAAUGAAGGUUGUAUGACGUUGAUGGUGUUCAAUCUCAAGAUUGGUUUUGCUGACCGGAUGGUCGGGUUGUUAGACAAACUGUUGCGACACUAGUGAAGUGCGUGUUGGGCGUAGACAAUGUUGAGGCAUUCGAAUGUUAGUGAGUGAGACAAUUUUGAGGGAUUCGAAUGUUAGUGAGUAACACCCGUGCUCAAAAUUUUGUACUGUCGAGCGACAACAACAAAUAUUGGGUUAGACUAUUUCAUUUUAAAUCGUUGGUUAACUUAUUUUUUGGUCUUCGGGGAAAUAGAGGUCGACUUAAAAUGUCGAGGCAGCCGUUUUCUCUUCAUUUUCAAAGUUUUGUUGCUUCCUUAAAGUUGAGAGAAAAGGUAGGGAGAGAGAGUUGUUCCGUGAGGUGUUUACAAGAGGUUUAUGGGGUUUAUGUGGCUUGUUAUUGAGGGAUCUAGCAAAGAGAAGGGGAGUUUCAUGGUUGUGGGUGUUAGGAGAAUCAUGUCCUUCCUAUGUUCUCCUUUAUUCGUCUUUGUUCAUUCCAAUCAAAAGGUGAGUGUAUGACCAUGGUUAAUCAGAGCAUGUUAAACACUUCUAAUGAUUUUUUGAUUGAUAUUGUUGUGGGUGGCUGGAUACUGUUGUGUGUGGCUUGAUUGUGUAUUGGUUUAUGUGUUUGCAUGAUUGAGCAUUGCUUUCUUGGCUGGAGAUUUGGAGGUGUUGAAUUCACUCUCUAGAGAGUUAAGAGGCGAUUUCAGGGCUUCUGCAGAGACGGUGUCGGUCGACACCAACCUUGCGUCUAUGUCGGUCAACACCAAUUUCUUGACAGGUUUUCUAGACAGCAGUUUCUGGACAAUGAGUAGUUCAUGUCUUUUUAUGGCUGGUUUAUUUAAUUUGGUUAAUCUGAUGCAUGUUGGUUUGGUUUAAUAUGCUUGUGUGUAUAGCCUUGUAGAUGGGAGGAUCGCUUCGAAAUACUCACGCGCAUCUCAUUGUGUUUUGUGAUGCAGGUAAAGUGUGAUGUACAAUCAUGGCAAAGAGGAGAAGGAUGAUCUAGGAUCUCGGUUGUUAUGUUUAAUUGUUGUUGGAACCUGGUUUAGUUAAAUUUUGGUUAUUGAAUGAUUGGUUAAUUAUUAUUAUGAUUAACUGGAGUUGGUUUAAUAUGUUUCCAGUGUGCAUGAUAGUUUAUUGUUCGGUUAAUUCGGUUAGGUUAAUUAUUUGGUAUGG